rnacentral:rRNA from 1 species
GCGACCCCAGGUCAAGCGGGGCUACCCGCUGAGUUUAAGCAUAUCAAUAAGCGGAGGAAAAGAAACUAACAAGGAUUCCCUUAG